CCUACGGGUGGCAGCAGUGGGGAAUAUUGGGCAAUGGGCGCAAGCCUGACCCAGCAACGCCGCGUGAAGGAUGAAGGUUUUAGGAUUGUAAACUUCUGUCGCGAGGGACGAAGAAUGACGGUACCUCGUAAGAAAGCCCCGGCUAACUACUGGCCAGCAGCCGCGGUAAUACGUAGGGGGCCAGCGUUGUCCGGAAUGACUGGGCGUAAAGGGAGUGUAGGCGGGUUUGUAAGUUAGAUGUGAAAUCCUAGGGCUUAACCUUAGAACUGCAGCUCAAACUGUGAGGCUGGAGUGCAGGAGAGGAGAGUGGAAUGCGUAGUGUAGCGGUGGAAUGCGUAGAUAUUAGGAAGAACACCGAGUGCGAAGGCGACUCACUGGACUGUAACUGACGCUGAGGCACGAAAGCGUGGGGAGCGAACAGGAUUAGAUACCCGUGUAGUC
rnacentral:rRNA from 1 species